rnacentral:rRNA from 1 species
AGUGAACGCUGGCGGCAGGCCUAAUACAUGCAAGUCGAACGGAAGCACGGUGAGGCUUGCUCCAUGGGUGGAGCGUGGCGGGGGGGUGUGGCAUACAGGUGAAUCUGCUCAGUCGCGGGGGUAAACGCAGGGAAACUUACGCUAAUACCGCAUGCGCCCUUCGGGGGAAAGCUGGGGAGUUUCGGGCCUGGCGCGUGUGAAUGAGACAAUGAUCGAUUAGCUAGUUGGCGGGGUAAAGGCCAACCAAGGCGACGAUCGAUAGCUGGUCUGAGAGGAUGAUCGGCCACACUGGGACUGAGACACGGCCCAGACUCCUACGGGAGGCAGCAGUAGGGAAUAUUGGGCAAUGGGCGCAAGCCUGAUCCAGCCAUGCCGCGUGAGUGAAGAAGGCCCUCGGGUCGUAAAGCUCUUUUGUCCGGGAAGAAAAUCAUCGGGCUAAUAUCUCGGUGUUCUGACGGUACCGGAAGAAUAAGCACCGGCUAACUUCGUG